rnacentral:rRNA from 1 species
AACGCGGGAAUCUUACCGGGUCCGGACACACUGAGGAUUGACAGGUUUCGAGAGUUUUUUUGGAGUUCGCUCCAGAAUGCUCUCUUAAAUAUGCUAGUCCUUUCAUGAUUAUGUGAUAGGUGGUGCAUGGCCGUUCUUAGUUCGUGGAGUGAUCUGUCUGCUUAAUUGCGUUUCACUAAAGGCGUCAUUAUAUUUUUGUGCUUGUGUUUGACCCCUCUUUCUUCGGAUUGAGCGCGUGUCUUUCACACACAAUUACUUUGACGUCUGAAAGCAACGAACGUGACCGUAACCUCUUGUUGCCUUCUCUUCUCUUCGGAGAAUGCUAGUUUUUUUCUUCGGAUAAAUUCUAGUAUAUGGAGGCUUUUACUCAAACUAGAGGGACCGCUGUUACUUUCUUUAAACCAGAGGAAGGUUGCGGCAAUAACAGGUCUGUGAUGCCCUUAGAUGUUCCGGGCUGCACACGUGAUACAUUGAUUACUUCAGUGAGUAUCUACGUAUUACUGCGCAGCACUAUAAAUUUUGUGUUUUUUUCUUCGGAAGAAUUCACAUAUUUAUAGGCCGCCUCAACCUACUUCGAAAGUAUGUGGGUAAACAAUUAGAAGUAGUGAUUUCCCUCUUUUAUAAGCACACUUAUAUGGAGCAUCAUCACCCGGCUUGCCUUGUGCUUGUUUUGUGUGUGUUGUUUGCUUUCCAUGUGCUUUUGUCAAUUCAUAGUGGGGACAGACC